GCAGUUGGAGCAGAGGGUUUAUGGUGACUUAAAGCUCAUUUUUAAAAACAUCUCUUCAAUUUUUCUCGGCUUACAACUGUAACUCCAAUACUUUGGGAGGUGAGGUAAGAGGCUCACUUGAGCCCAGGAGUUUGAGACCAGCCUGGGAAACAUGCUGAUACCUCGUCUCUAGAUAAUUUGUUUUUAAAACUAGCCAAAUGUGGUGUGCAUACCUGAAGUUCCAGCUACUCAGGAGGCCAAGGGAGUAGGAUUGCUUGAGUCCAGGAGUUCAAAGCGACAGUGAGCCAUGAUUGUGCCACCGCACUCCAGCCUGGUAACAGAGCAAGGAUGCUGUCUUCCUCUGCUCCGCUCUGCUCUGCUGAUCGAGUUCUCACUGGGAGGCUGACGCUUGCACCUCCCUGCCCUGUGUGAUCAUUCUGCAGCCCCAGGUCCUCUCCGUCCCCUGGCCCAGGAGAUUUUACCUUCCAAUCAUGCCCUUACUAUUUGCUUGGAAUCAAAGUGUACCUUAUUUCAUAAAAUGAUAAUAACAGCA